rnacentral:rRNA from 1 species
AUUGAACGCUGGCGGCAGGCCUAACACAUGCAAGUCGAACGAGAGGCGGACGGGUGAGUAAGGUCUGGGAAACUGACUGGUGGAGGGGGAUAACUACUGGAAGCGGUAGCUGAUACCGCAUACCAGCGGCUGGGCCCAGAUGGGAUUAGCUAGUAGGGGGGGUAAAGGAUCACCUAGGCGACGAUCCCUAGCUGGUCUGAGAGGAUGACCAGCCACACUGGAACUGAGACACGGUCCAGACUCCUACGGGAGGCAGCAGUGGGGAAUAUUGCACAAUGGGCGCAAGCCUGAUGCAGCCAUGCCGCGUGUAUGAAGAAGGCCUUCGGGUUGUAAAGUACUUUCAGCGGGGAGGCGUUACCCGCAGAAGAAGCACCGGCUAACUCCGUGCCAGCAGCCGCGGUAAUUC